rnacentral:lncRNA from 1 species
UUUGUAAUAAUUGCAUGAAUACAAGUAAGAUGAGAAAAAAAUACACUUAUUGCAAGUGUUACUUUAUUUCAUAAUUUUAAAUUGAAAAAGGUAGAAAAUGAAAUGUUUACAUUUUUUCUAACAAGUAAACUAGUAAAGUAGUAAUUUCUAAUAUUUUGCAUCGCCCGAGCAAAUUCAUCAUAAUUAAUAUGAACCGAUUGACCUUCUUCUGGAGAGUUAAAUUCGGAUGGAUUUCCAUGGGUUAAUAUAUCUCCAAGUUCCUCGUCUUCUGGGCUANNN